rnacentral:rRNA from 1 species
UAGGGAAUCUUCCGCAAUGGACGCAAGUCUGACGGAGCAACGCCGCGUGAGUGAAGAAGGAUUUCGGUUCGUAAAACUCUGUUGUUAGAGAAGAACAGCGCAUAGAGUAACUGUUAUGCGUGUGACGGUAUCUAACCAGAAAGCCACGGCUAACUACGUGCCAGCAGCCGCGGUAAUACGUAGGUGGCAAGCGUUGUCCGGAUUUAUUGGGCGUAAAGCGAGCGCAGGCGGUCAAUUAAGUCUGAUGUGAAAGCCCCCGGCUCAACCGGGGAGGGUCCUUGGAAACUGGUUGACUUGAGUGCAGAAGAGGAGAGUGGAAUUCCAUGUGUAGCGGUGAAAUGCGUAGAUAUAUGGAGGAACACCAGUGGCGAAGGCGACUCUCUGGUCUGUAACUGACGCUGAGGCUCGAAAGCGUGGGUAGCAAACAGG